UCGGGAAUUUUGGGCAAUGGGCGAAAGCCUGACCCAGCAACGCCGCGUGAAGGAUGAAGUAUUUCGGUAUGUAAACUUCGAAAGAAUAGGAAGAAUAAAUGACGGUACUAUUUAUAAGGUCCGGCUAACUACGUGCCAGCAGCCGCGGUAAUACGUAGGGACCAAGCGUUGUUCGGAUUUACUGGGCGUAAAGCGCACGUAGGCGGAUUUGUAAGUCAGGGGUGAAAUCCCGGGGCUCAACCUCGGAACUGCCUUUGAUACUGCGGAUCUCGAGUCCGAUAGAGGUGAGUGGAAUUCCUAGUGUAGAGGUGAAAUUCGUAGAUAUUAGGAAGAACACCGGUGGCGAAGGCGGCUCACUGGAUCGGUACUGACGCUGAGGUGCGAAAGCGUGGGGAGCAAACAGGAUUAGAUACCCCGGUAGUCCCUGAGCGGGCUGGCAAGGCGCAU
rnacentral:rRNA from 1 species